GGCGGUUUGUCGCGUCUGCUGUGAAAUCCCGAGGCUCAACCUCGGGCCUGCAGUGGGUACGGGCAGACUAGAGUGCGGUAGGGGAGAUUGGAAUUCCUGGUGUAGCGGUGGAAUGCGCAGAUAUCAGGAGGAACACCGAUGGCGAAGGCAGAUCUCUGGGCCGUAACUGACGCUGAGGAGCGAAAGGGUGGGGAGCAAACAGGCUUAGAUACCCUGGUAGUCCACCCCGUAAACGUUGGGAACUAGUUGUGGGGUCCAUUCCACGGAUUCCGUGACGCAGCUAACGCAUUAAGUUCCCCGCCUGGGGAGUACGGCCGCAAGGCUAAAACUCAAAGGAAUUGACGGGGACCCGCACAAGCGGCGGAGCAUGCGGAUUAAUUCGAUGCAACGCGAAGAACCUUACCAAGGCUUGACAUAUUCGAGAACGCCGUAGAAAUACGGAACUCUUUGGACACUCGUUUACAGGUGGUGCAUGGUUGUCGUCAGCUCGUGUCGUGAGAUGUUGGGUUAAGUCCCGCAACGAGCGCAACCCUCGUUCUAUGUUGCCAGCACGUAAUGGUGGGAACUCAUGGGAUACUGCCGGGGUCAACUCGGAGGAAGGUGGGGAUGACGUCAAUUCAUCAUGCCCCUUAUGUCUUGGGCUUCACGCAUGCUACAAUGGCCGGUACAAAGGGCUGCAAUACCGUGAGGUGGAGCGAAUCCCAAAAAGCCGGUCCCAGUUCGGAUUGAGGUCUGCAACUCGACCUCAUGAAGUCGGAGUCGCUAGU
rnacentral:rRNA from 1 species